GUUUACCAAAAACAUGGCUUCAUGGUAUCAUAGUAUAUGAAGUCGAGCCUGCCCGGUGAAGUGUUUUAACGGCCGCGGUACUCUGACCGUGCAAAGGUAGCAUAAUCAUUUGCCUUAUAAUUGAAGGCUGGAAUGAAUGGUUUGACAAGAAUAUUACUGUCUCUGAGAAAUUUAUUAGAAUUUUAUUUCUAGGUGAAAAAGCCUUAAUUAAAUUGAAAGACAAGAAGACCCUAUCGAGCUUUAAAAAAAUAAAUGAGGUAUUAUUUUAUUAUUUUAAAUAAAUGUUUGUUGAAAAUUUUGGUUGGGGCAACUAAGGAGUAUUUGAAGCCUCCUCUACUUAAAAAAAUUUAUGGAUCUUGAUCCAGAAAAGUCUGAUUAACAGAAAUAGUUACCGUAGGGAUAACAGCAUUAUUUUCUUUGAGAGCUCCAAUCGAAAAGAAAGUUUGUGACCUCGAUGUUGGACCAGAAUGUCCUAAAGAUGCAGAAGUCUUUAAGGGUUGGUCUGUUCGACCAUUAAUAUUCUACGUGAUCUGAGUUCAGACCGG
rnacentral:rRNA from 1 species